rnacentral:rRNA from 1 species
CGCGGUGAAUACGUUCCCGGACCUUGUACACACCGCCCGUCAAGCCAUGGAAGUCGGAAAGACCUGAAGCCGCCCUUCAAUAAGGUGGUAAGGGUAGGUCUGGUAACUGGGGCU